rnacentral:lncRNA from 1 species
GGGUCAAUAAAUCCCAUUUUGAUGCACACCCCACUCCUACAGUGGACCAACUAUCACCAACAUCCAUUACAAUGGAUCAUUGAGAUCUAUGUUGAUGUGUCAGUCAAACUCCAGUAGCCUGACUGUGAGCAGUAGUGCCAUCUCAGUCAAAGAAUCAGUCAUAUAACUGCAGCAUCGAGAAAGUCACUAACAAGUGAGCAGACAUCUAUGUGACU